GCGGCUGUGGCGGCAGCCUCGGGCCCUUUUCCCGUCCCCUUGUGGUUCCCUGGUUCCUCUCCUCCUCCUGGUGCUUUUUCUUCUCGGCCUCUCCUCUCCUCCCGCGACGGUGCUGCCCAGCACCCUCGUUCGUUCGCGACUGCGGCCUGCCCUUCUCCCCGGCCCUGGGUGCUGCAGGUCCCGCCGCGGCCCGUGUGCAUCUGGAGGCCCGGGGUGACCCCCUACUGAUCUAGCGCCCGGGAGCUCCGGCCCUGCGGCUAUAAGUUGUCUUACUCCCCGCAAACGCUGGCUUUUUGGAGUGUUCAGCGGUUCUGCUUGAAAAUUUCAGGCCGCCUACAGAGAUGCGAAUCUUUCAGCAUCUCACUUGAGUCGCUAGGAAGUAAGAGGGCGGGAGAGGUGUAUUCAGCAAGUUACCUCACACCAACCCUAGGCCCAAGGUUGGGGCUAAAGCUGAGUUUAAGACCUAAUGAUUAUUGUUUUCCAUGAUAAAGGAGGCUCCCCCACACCCCACCUUCUGUGCCUUUUUGGCUGAGGAGAUUUGAUGAGAUACGUGUAAUUUCGUUUUCUUAAAGGAACGGUUUGCUAUGGAGACUAGAUUCUGGGAGCCAUAGCAGUGUCAGCCUCCAGAUUUUCUUCUUGGUACUUCUCUAUAUGGAAAUAUCCCUGAUUUAUUGAUCAGUGCUGACUGUCCCUUCUGUCUCGGAUUUUAUCUUUCCUUUCUUGUUCAGGUUGGCUAACGUUUAAUGACUGACCAUUUUGGGAAUACAAAGAUAUUGGGGAAUACAAAGUGGGGCCACACUCACCCCCUUUGGGAAUACAAAGUUAUGGAAACAGCCACUCCAGAGCCUAUACAUAAUUCAUAACAGUGCUGAAUGUUGACUGUGAAAACGGGCAACUAGGUGAACCUUGAGAGAACAUCUUGGCAGGUACUGGGGUUGAACCUAGUUUGCUAAGGAUGAGAGUAAUGAAAUGGAUGAAUCAAGACUAAAAGUCUUUAGAAGGGCUUGCUCGGUGCAUCGGACUGUGCUAUAUGCUAGGUAUACAGAGCUGAAGCAGUUAAGAUCUUUGUCCUUUGUUCACAAUCUGUAGAAAUCAGGGGAGAGGAAGCUGUGGGUAAAGAAUUUUGAGGAGAGUGAAUGAGAAGAUUAUGUUGAAAGAGCAUGGAAGAGAUGGGAUUAAAGUAUAGGUUGGGAGGGUUCAGCUCUUGGAAUAGCAGAGGCUGACAUCCUCUAAAAAGGAAAAGGAACACAAUCAGAGAUGGAGUAGAAGACAGUUGUAUGUCAGAUGUAGUUCUGAAGUCAGUGAUGUCAGUGAUUUUCAAACAAUAUUGGGUAGGAACAGGUUAGAGCUUGCUUCUGAAACUUGCUACUCAUGGGACGUUCCCCGGACAUUUUUACAGUGUAUCUAAGGGUUGGACUCCACUCCACACCUAUUAAGUCAGAAUCUCUUGGGGAUGAGAACCUGGCCUAGAUAUGCUUUAAAAGUGAGCUAAGUCAUUCUAACAUGCAGCCAGGAUUGACAACCACUGUGUUAAGAGAGUGAAAGAGCAGAUUUAGAGUCCUGGCUGUGAGAUAUUUGGAAGUUGGAGAUGAAGAAAAGAUUGAACCUGUUAACUUGUGUUUAUUUUACAUUCAGUCAUUCAUUAAGGAUAUACUUUCUAGCAGUGGGAAAAAGAGUAAGACAAAUGAUUGGCAGGGUGGCUGUGUCAGAAGAUUCAAGGAAGCAAAGAAAUAAAAUGAUGACUGUUUUGCCCCUCGUAUUUUGAUUUUCUACCAUGUGGAGGCAUAAUCUUUAAUCCUCACAGUAACCCAACAAAACAAAUGGUACUACGUGUGGAGCCAGAGUUCAAGAUGUUGGAGUUGUUCUGGGGAAGAGGUCUUGGUUGGUUGGGGAGAUCUUUCAAGGACCUAAGGUUGGAGAAAGUUGGUUUUCAGUUGAGUUAUCAGUCCCGGGACCCUUAAAUAUCUCAACUCUUCCAUAAUAUCAAGGUGGUCCAUUUCAUCUUAGGUGCCAGGUCCACAUUCUGGAAUUUUCUUCUGUCUUUUUGGUGCUCAUCAAGAGGCUUCGUGACGGAGUGAUCAGAGACAUUGAGAGACAAAAUCGGAAAAAAGAAAACAUCCGUCUUUUGGGAGAACAGAUUAUUUUGACUGAGCAACUUGAAGCAGAAAGAGAGAAGAUGUUAUUGACAA